AUCUCUGUAUAUCACCCCCUUUCUCUCUCAAAACCCACCACCACAUGCCCUUCGCUGUAACCCAAAAACACAGUGUCGAUUUGUGACUGUAAUUAUCACCACCACCGUCGCCGUCACCACCACCACCUGACCUUAAGUUAGAGAGAGAGGCUGAAAGAGAAGGAUGGUUUCGGAAUCGCCGCCACGCCGGAAGAACGCUGUGGGGUAUCAAAGAAGACAAUGUAAUUUUCCGGAAUCGCCGCCACGUCGGAAGAACGCUGUUAUUGAAAUCCUUUGUCAUGGGUUCAUACCUAUUUAAUCAUUGUGUUUACUCGAAGAAUAUAAUUAAGAGGUUGAAGUUGCUGUUAAGUUUGUUGAAUCAGGUUUGAAUCCUCAGUUUAGUGAAGAAAUUUUGGUAGGUUGUCGGGUAGAGAGAGGGGCAUUCAAAUGCUUGGGUGCUCAAAACUUGCAGCAAAUGGAAUGAAAGAACAAGGUAGCAACUAGCAAUUGAUAUUCUAGAAACAAAAAUAUGUGGGGAAGGAUUGUAAUUAGAUCUGAUAGGAUGGAAAGUUUUUUGUUUUUUGUGUUUUUAAAGUUGUUUAUUU
rnacentral:lncRNA from 1 species